UGGGGAAUAUUGGACAAUGGGCGCAAGCCUGAUCCAGCCAUGCCGCGUGAGUGAUGAAGGCCCUAGGGUUGUAAAGCUCUUUCACCGGUGAAGAUAAUGACGGUAACCGGAGAAGAAGCCCCGGCUAACUUCGUGCCAGCAGCCGCGGUAAUACGAAGGGGGCUAGCGUUGUUCGGAUUUACUGGGCGUAAAGCGCACGUAGGCGGACUAUUAAGUCAGGGGUGAAAUCCCGGGGCUCAACCCCGGAACUGCCUUUGAUACUGGUAGUCUUGAGUUCGAGAGAGGUGAGUGGAAUUCCGAGUGUAGAGGUGAAAUUCGUAGAUAUUCGGAGGAACACCAGUGGCGAAGGCGGCUCACGGGCUCGAUACUGACGCUGAGGUGCGAAAGCGUGGGGAGCAAACAGG
rnacentral:rRNA from 1 species